GCAUUUAACACAGGAUUUUGGUAUUGGACAAGUUUGCUAAAAAAAUCUCUUGAAAACCAUUUUGAAUUUAAUUUCAAUCAUCCAUUGAACUUAGAUUAACCUAUAACUCACAUACUCAAACAAUCUAUAGAGAGAACUAAUUAAUUUUAUAUUUUAACAAAAUAACCUCAUUGAGGUAUUUUAUCAAACAUGUAACAUGCAUGCUUUAAAAAUUCAAUUUUUCUAUGAAUUAAAAGCAUAAACUUGAACUCCAUAACCCAUUCCAUCCUUAUUCUCCCGAAUACUUUAUGAUUCACCAACAAAAACCAACUCCCACAACUCAAUCAUACAUGUAUUAGAAGUAAAAUACAAAGAAAAUUAUUUUAAAUAAUGGUAAAUAACACUUUUAACCUUAGCUUAAAGAUUGAGUGGUGAAAUUCCUUAUUCAACACUUGAUGAAGCUUUCUCUUGAUAGAGUUUUCUCUAUUCCUUCUUCAAUCAGGCUUAUAAUUAUAAUUUCAGCUAGCUUCUCGUAAUUUUAAUAAAGUUUUGGUGAGAAAUUUGGUAGAGAGCCCAAGAACACUUGUUUUCGUGACUUGGUUCUUUGAAGGGAAUGAAAGGAGUUGACUUAGAAGGAAAUGAAAUGUUGAAAAUUAAAU
rnacentral:lncRNA from 1 species